rnacentral:lncRNA from 1 species
AGAACUUUGGGUUCACAAGUUUCCCCUUUUCAAUUAGUAGAUGAAUAAAAAAUGUAUAGCAUGGUUUUAUUUUUGACUGCACGUUUUUAAUUAAAAUCUCUUAUCUUUUUUUUUUCCCCCUUUCUGAUAAGUCUCACAUAUACUGAACCCACACUCACACCAUUAUAUACAGUCCUUCCAGCUCCAGUGCUUGCACUAAUCCCCUCUGGAUUUGGUGGAACAACUGCAUUACAGGCAUCUACAGCUCUGAUAAUCACCAGCAAGUGGGGAUGCUGGCUCAAAGAUGCAAGGUCACUUGAACACCACUCUUCAAUACCCUGCAGCACUCCUUCCCAAGUCAUAACUUAGGAUCUCUGGAUCACACCCAAAGUAAGAGCACACUGGUCAAACAUAUCAAGUGCCUCUUGUUAGAAGUUAUCACUUUAGAAAUGAAUUUGCAAGCUGCAGCAUUGAAGCCCUUGGAUCGGCUCGUGAGCUCCUAACCUCGACGUCUGGCCUUUGAGCAGAACUUGAGAGAGGCGGGGGUGGAAUGAGAGAGAGAAGGAGAGAGAGAGAGACCAAAAGGAUGAAGAAGAAAAGCAAAAUAAAUCAAAAGCAGCUUUCUUGGUAACA